AUUUCAACAGGCCGAGGUCUGGACUUUGAGUGGAGUAAAGUGAAUAGCAGAAGAACAGACACAAAGAACUUUCCUUCCACAAAGAACAAUUACUACUGGAGGGCCUAGUUCUUGCCUGGGGGCUGCCCACCUGCU